rnacentral:rRNA from 1 species
GUGUCAGCCGCCGCGGUAAUACGUUGGGGGCUAGCGUUGUCCGGAUUUAUUGGGCGUAAAGCGCGUGUAGGCGGCCAGGAAGGUCCGCUGUGAAAACUCGAGGCUCAACCUCGAGAUGUCGGCGGAAACCCUCUGGCUAGAGUCCGGAAGAGGAGAGUGGAAUUCCCGGUGUAGCGGUGAAAUGCGCAGAUAUCGGGAAGAACACCCGUGGCGAAGGCGGCUCUCUGGGACGGUACUGACGCUGAGACGCGAAAGCGUGGGGAGCGAACAGGAUUAGAAACCCCUGUAGUCC